ensembl:ncRNA K12H4.10 ncRNA
AAAAAUGUUGGGCCGAACCGGGGAUUCAACCCGGGACCUCUCGCACCCAAAGCGAGAAUCAUACCACUAGACCAUUCGGCCGACAUUUUUCUGGUCAAAGGGCAAAUAGAAAAGCUGUGUAAAUAACUUACGAUGUGGAGGCGCCA